UACGGAGGAUCCGAGCGUUAUCCGGAUUUAUUGGGUUUAAAGGGUGCGUAGGCGGUUUGAUAAGUUAGAGGUGAAAUGUCGGGGCUCAACCCCGAAACUGCCUCUAAUACUGUUGGACUAGAGAAUAGUUGCGGUAGGCGGAAUGUAUGGUGUAGCGGUGAAAUGCUUAGAGAUCAUACAGAACACCGAUUGCGAGGGCAGCUUACCAAACUAUAUCUGACGUUGAGGCACGAAAGCGUGGGUAGCAAACAGG
rnacentral:rRNA from 1 species